GCUGGGCUUGGUGGAGCAUGCCCGUAGUCCCAGCUAUUCAGGAGGUUGAGGUGGGAGGAUCACUUGAGCCCGGGAGUUCCAGGCUGCAGUGAGCUGUGAUCACACCACUGCACUCCGGCCUGGGCAACAAAGAGAGACCCUGUCUCAA
ensembl:misc_RNA Metazoa_SRP Metazoan signal recognition particle RNA